rnacentral:rRNA from 1 species
ACCCACUCCAUGCCCUUAUGACCUGGGCUACACACGUGCUACAAUGGGAAGUACAACGAGUUGCGAAGUCGCGAGGCUAAGCUAAUCUCUUAAAGCUUCUCUCAGUUCGGAUUGCAGGCUGCAACUCGCCUCAUGAAGCCGGAAUCGCUAGUAAUCGCGGAUCAGCACGCCGCGGUGAAUACGUUCCCGGGCCUUGACACACCGCCCGUCACACCACGAGAGUUUGUAACACCCGAAGUCGGUGAGGUAACCUUUUGGAACCCGCCCCC